GGGAAGAAGUUGAACAAGGGAAAGAAGUUGAACAGGUACCUACUGGAUUAACCAGAACGCACCAGAGACGUAAAUAAAAGAACCAAUACAUUGAUAUAUCGAAAAAGAAGCUUGCUAAAGUUAAAGGAUACUUUGAGAAAGACGCAGCAUAGAAUGGAGGAGCAGUUGAAGAGAGGGAAGAACGCUUUAGGCAAGCUGCUAGGAAUUGAGGAAGAGCAUAAGAAGGCUAG
rnacentral:misc_RNA from 1 species